rnacentral:rRNA from 1 species
CCUACGGGUGGCAGCAGUGAGGAAUAUUGGUCAAUGGCCGGAAGGCUGAACCAGCCAAGCCGCGUGAAGGACGAAGGUGCCAAGCAUUGUAAACUUCUUUUGUCAAGGGACAAAAUCAGGCUCGAGAGCCUGACCGAGGGUACUUGAAGAAAAAGCAUCGGCUAACUCCGUGCCAGCAGCCGCGGUAAUACAUAGGAUGCAAGCGUUAUCCGGAUUUACUGGGCGUAAAACGAGCGCAGGCGGGUUAACAAGUUUGGUAUGAAAGGCUUUUGCUUAACGAAAGUUUGUAUCAAAAACUGUUAAUCUAGAGUGUAGUAGAGAGUUCUGGAAUUCCAUGUGGAGCGGUGGAAUGCGUAGAUAUAUGGAAGAACACCAGUGGCGAAGGCGAGAACUUAGGCUAUCACUGACGCUUAGGCUCGAAAGUGUGGGGAGCAAAUAGGAUUAGAUACCCUUGUAGUC